rnacentral:sRNA from 1 species
AGAAAAGUAGGUGCCGCCCCGUACAGGGGCGACACUAAUAGACCGACAAGAAAGCAGAUUCAACAGAGAGACGCGAAUAACAGAAAAGAAACCCGCGCCCCGCACAACAC